rnacentral:rRNA from 1 species
UGGGGAAUAUUGCACAAUGGGCGCAAGCCUGAUGCAGCCAUGCCGCGUGUGUGAAGAAGGCCUUCGGGUUGUAAAGCACUUUCAGCGAGGAGGAAGGUGGUGGACUUAAUACGUUCAUCAAUUGACGUUACUCGCAGAAGAAGCACCGGCUAACUCCGUGCCAGCAGCCGCGGUAAUACGGAGGGUGCAAGCGUUAAUCGGAAUUACUGGGCGUAAAGCGCACGCAGGCGGUUUGUUAAGUCAGAUGUGAAAUCCCCGGGCUCAACCUGGGAACUGCAUUUGAAACUGGCAAGCUAGAGUCUCGUAGAGGGGGGUAGAAUUCCAGGUGUAGCGGUGAAAUGCGUAGAGAUCUGGAGGAAUACCGGUGGCGAAGGCGGCCCCCUGGACGAAGACUGACGCUCAGGUGCGAAAGCGUGGGGCAGCAAACAGGAUUAGAUACCCUGGUAGUCCAGCGCUGUAAACGAUGUCGAUUUUGGAGGUUGUGCCCUUGAGGCGUGGCUUCCGGAGCUAACGCGUUAAAGUCGACCG